GACGAACCGUGCGAGCGUUAUUCGGAAUCACUGGGCUUAAAGGGCGCGUAGGCGGGCGGCCGAGUCCGGGGUGAAAGCCCCCAGCUCAACUGGGGAAGUGCCUCGGAUACCGGCCGUCUCGAGGGAGAUAGGGGCGUGCGGAACUUCCGGUGGAGCGGUGAAAUGCGUAGAUAUCGGAAGGAACACCGGUGGCGAAGGCGGGUCUCUGGGCCGAUACUGACGCUGAGGAGCGAAAGCGUGGGGAGCGAACAGG
rnacentral:rRNA from 1 species